AGCGAACGUUAGCGGCGGGCCUAACACAUGCAAGUCGAGCGAGAAAGGGGCUUCGGUCCCGAGUACAGCGGCGGACGGGUGAGGAACACGUAGGUAAUCUGCCCUUCAGUGGAGGACAACGGUCCGAAAGGACCGCUAAUACUGCAUACGUUCCCCGGGACUCCGGUUCCGGGGAGGAAAGCCUCGCAAGGGGCGCUGAGGGAGGAGCCUGCGUCGCAUCAGCUAGUUGGUGGGGUAACGGCCUACCAAGGCGAAGACGCGUAGCUGGUCUGAGAGGAUGAUCAGCCACACUGGGACUGAGACACGGCCCAGACACCUACGGGUGGCAG
rnacentral:rRNA from 1 species